CCGAGCGGUAGAGAUCUUUCGGGAUCUUGAGAGCGGCGUACGGGUGCGGAACACGUGUGCAACCUGCCUUUAUCUGGGGGAUAGCCUUUCGAAAGGAAGAUUAAUACCCCAUAAUAUACUGAAUGGCAUCAUUCGGUAUUGAAAACUCCGGUGGAUAGAGAUGGGCACGCGCAAGAUUAGAUAGUUGGUGAGGUAACGGCUCACCAAGUCUACGAUCUUUAGGGGGCCUGAGAGGGUGAUCCCCCACACUGGUACUGAGACACGGACCAGACUCCUACGGGAGGCAGCAGUGAGGAAUAUUGGACAAUGGGUGAGAGCCUGAUCCAGCCAUCCCGCGUGAAGGACGACGGCCCUAUGGGUUGUAAACUUCUUUUGUAUAGGGAUAAACCUACCCUCGUGAGGGUAGCUGAAGGUACUAUACGAAUAAGCACCGGCUAACUCCGUGCCAGCAGCCGCGGUAAUACGGAGGGUGCAAGCGUUAUCCGGAUUUAUUGGGUUUAAAGGGUCCGUAGGCGGAUCUGUAAGUCAGUGGUGAAAUCUCACAGCUUAACUGUGAAACUGCCAUUGAUACUGCAGGUCUUGAGUGUUGUUGAAGUAGCUGGAAUAAGUAGUGUAGCGGUGAAAUGCAUAGAUAUUACUUAGAACACCAAUUGCGAAGGCAGGUUACUAAGCAACAACUGACGCUGAUGGACGAAAGCGUGGGGAGCGAACAGGAUUAGAUACCCUGGUAGUCCACGCCGUAAACGAUGCUAACUCGUUUUUGGAGCGUAAGCUUCAGAGACUAAGCGAAAGUGAUAAGUUAGCCACCUGGGGAGUACGAACGCAAGUUUGAAACUCAAAGGAAUUGACGGGGGCCCGCACAAGCGGUGGAUUAUGUGGUUUAAUUCGAUGAUACGCGAGGAACCUUACCAAGGCUUAAAUGGGAAAUGACAGGUUUAGAAAUAGACUUUUCUUCGGACAUUUUUCAAGGUGCUGCAUGGUUGUCGUCAGCUCGUGCCGUGAGGUGUUAGGUUAAGUCCUGCAACGAGCGCAACCCCUGUCACUAGUUGCCAUCAUUAAGUUGGGGACUCUAGUGAGACUGCCUACGCAAGUAGAGAGGAAGGUGGGGAUGACGUCAAAUCAUCACGGCCCUUACGCCUUGGGCCACACACGUAAUACAAUGGCCGGUACAGAGGGCAGCUACACUGCGAAGUGAUGCAAAUCUCGAAAGCCGGUCUCAGUUCGGAUUGGAGUCUGCAACUCGACUCUAUGAAGCUGGAAUCGCUAGUAAUCGCGCAUCAGCCAUGGCGCGGUGAAUACGUUCCCGGGCCUUGUACACACCGCCCGUCAAGCCAUGGAAGUCUGGGGUACCUGAAGUCGGUGACCGUAACAGGAGC
rnacentral:rRNA from 1 species